rnacentral:rRNA from 1 species
UACGGGGGGGGCAAGCGUUGUUCGGAAUUACUGGGCGUAAAGGGUUCGUAGGCGGCCAACUAAGUCAGACGUGAAAUCCCUCGGCUUAACCGGGGAACUGCGUCUGAUACUGGAUGGCUAGAGGUUGGGAGAGGGAUGCGGAAUUCCAGGUGUAGCGGUGAAAUGCGUAGAUAUCUGGAGGAACACCGGUGGCGAAGGCGGCAUCCUGGACCAAUUCUGACGCUGAGGAGCGAAAGCCAGGGGAGCAAACGGG